rnacentral:rRNA from 1 species
GGAGGAAAGCAGGGGAUCGUAAGACCUUGCGCUUUUGGAGUGGCCGAUGCCUGAUUAGCUAGUUGGUGGGGUAAGAGCCUACCAAGGCGACGAUCAGUAGUUGGUCUGAGAGGACGACCAGCCACACUGGGACUGAGACACGGCCCAGACUCCUAUGGGAGGCAGCAGUGGGGAAUUUUGGACAAUGGGCGAAAGCCUGAUCCAGCAAUGCCGCGUGAGUGAAGAAGGCCUUCGGGUUGUAAAGCUCUUUCAGUCGAGAAGAAAAGGUUGCGACUAAUAAUCGCAACUUAUGACGGUAUCGACAGAAGAAGCACCGGCUAACUACGUGCCAGCAGCCGCGGUAAUACGUAGGGUGCGAGCGUUAAUCGGAAUUACUGGGCGUAAAGGGUGCGCAGGCGGCUCUGUAAGUCAGAUGUGAAAUCCCCGGGCUUAACCUGGGAAUUGCGUUUGAAACUACAAAGCUAGA